UACGGGGGGAGCAAGCGUUGUUCGGAUUUACUGGGCGUAAAGGGCGCGUAGGCGGUCGUGACAAGUCACUUGUGAAAUCUCCGGGCUUAACUCGGAACGGUCAAGUGAUACUGUCGGACUAGAGUACAGAAGGGGCAACUGGGAAUUCUCGGUGUAGCGGUGAAAUGCGUAGAUAUCGAGGAGGAACACCCUGCGGCGAAGGCGGGUUGCUGGGCUGAUACUGAGCUGAGGCGCGAAAGCCAGGGGAGGCGAACGGG
rnacentral:rRNA from 1 species